UGGGGAAUAUUGCACAAUGGGCGCAAGCCUGAUGCAGCCAUGCCGCGUGUGUGAAGAAGGCCUUCGGGUUGUAAAGCACUUUCAGCGAGGAGGAAGGUGGUGAGCUUAAUACGCUCAUCAAUUGACGUUACUCGCAGAAGAAGCACCGGCUAACUCCGUGCCAGCAGCCGCGGUAAUACGGAGGGUGCAAGCGUUAAUCGGAAUUACUGGGCGUAAAGCGCACGCAGGCGGUUUGUUAAGUCAGAUGUGAAAUCCCCGGGCUCAACCUGGGAACUGCAUUUGAAACUGGCAAGCUAGAGUCUCGUAGAGGGGGGUAGAAUUCCAGGUGUAGCGGUGAAAUGCGUAGAGAUCUGGAGGAAUACCGGUGGCGAAGGCGGCCCCCUGGACGAAGACUGACGCUCAGGUGCGAAAGCGUGGGGAGCAAACAGGAUUAGAUACCCCUGGUAGUCCAGCGCUGUAAAACGAUGUCGAUUUUGGAGGUUGUGCCCUUGAGGCGUGGCUUCCGGAGCUAACGCGUUAAAGUCGACCGCCUGGGGAGU
rnacentral:rRNA from 1 species